rnacentral:rRNA from 1 species
GUGGAUUAGAUACCCUGGUAGUCCACGCCCUAAACGAUGUCAAUUAGCUGUUGGGGGUUUGAAUCCUUGGUAGCGUAGCUAACGCGUGAAAUUGACCGCCUGGGGAGUACGGCCGCAAGGUUAAAACUCAAAGGAAUUGACGGGGACCCGCACAAGCGGUGGAUGAUGUGGAUUAAUUCGAUGCAACGCGAAAAACCUUACCUGCUCUUGACAUGUCCGGAACCUCGCAGAGACGCGAGGGUGCCCGAAAGGGAGCCGGAACACAGGUGCUGCACGGCCGUCGACAACU